UUCGUCGUGUGUAGUUUCGCC
ensembl:piRNA 21ur-73 ncRNA